rnacentral:lncRNA from 1 species
CUCCAAUCUCACACUAAGAAAACGACUAUACAUCCAGGUUAUUCUGAACCAUGGAAAAAAACAGAGUUAUCAGUGGAUGCCUCACCUUAGAAAAGUCCCGUAAAACUGAGGAAGAUUGUGGGAGGUAUCCUUGGGGGUCAUCUAGACCAGCACUCCAGCCUGCCCCAAAUCUACAGAUCAAAAAAGCAAAGUCCAGAGAAGUAACGUCUCAAGGUCACAUAAGUCAGUCCCUAUCAACAUCAGCACUAAAAUCAAGGCUUCCUAAAACCAGUCGGAUCAUUGUUCCAUUACAGCAUAUGGCUUUUCUUCUGGAAAAAUGUCCAACUGUAGCAGACAGAAAGGAAGCCAAGAGAGGGUGUUUACAGCAAGGAGGGGCUAUGAAAUAUCUUCACUCCAGGUUCUUUACGAGCUGCAGUGUAUCAUUUUUAUCAGUAAUUGGAAGCAUGCUGCAUGUUUGACUCUGUGGACUCCUGCUUUACACAACAGAACAUUCCGAUGGUGUGCAUGUGCCAUACCCUGCCGUAACAAAUCUCAGCUGGUCCUCUGCUGUCCUCUGGGGAGAAUGCAUUUGAACUCAUCUCAAAGAGCUGGUUUUCUACCCUGGAGGUCUCCGAUGGCUACUGCGAGAAGAAAGCCAUGUCCCGAAAGCAGUGAUACAGAUUGGCAGCCACUGCAGAGAUGCAGAAUGUCGAAGAGUGUGUGUGUUGGAAUUCCUGGACAGACACUGCUCUGAAAGAAAAACCCUCUGGUUUUGGAAGUCUGGUUGGGCAAGGCAGGCGGAGGUCAUGGAGGGGCCGGCGUGAUGGAAUCCUCGGUGCAGCUGACUGCGCAGCCCGACACUGGCGUGGACACUGGGAUGCGUCAUGCAACAUCCAACCAGAGCACACUCACGAGGACAAACAUGGGCCCACCUAUUUACCAUCAGAAAAACAAAAUCACGCUCUUUCACUUUGAAAGAAGGGGGAAACUGGAAAGUUAUUAUUUGAAAUAAAAU